UCAUUUGCAAAAAAAGAAAGAAAACAGAAACAAAGACUCCUGAGUUAGGAGGAGAUUGUAUCUCCCAUUAGAAAGUCUUCUAUCCAACCGUCUUGAUACAACGUUUCCAGGUAACAUGAGAGACUGGAUGAUGUUGGGAUGACAAUCACAGACUGCCAAUUCCAGCAGCGAGGACACUAAGGUGAAGGAUUUGUGAUACAUAAAGGAUAACAUUGAGGAUGGGGACGAGGACUGCCUGAAGAAGCUGCAAGGAAACAGUCAGAGUCCAUGCACCCGCGCCCACGCAGCCGCAUGGCCACGUUUUGGUAUGCAGAUCCAUAGACGCAGGAUCCAGUGCGAUAUCCAGAAGAAGAUGACCCGGAAAUAAAUCAGAGAAGAGUCAUCAUCUAUAAGCUAAGGCUGGCAUUUCACAGGGACGCAGUUCAGCUGGAACAACAAGAUGAAUCUGCAGGCUGCUCCAGGAUUUUGUGUUUUGUCCAGCUUUGCAGGAGCUGGGUACUCGGAGUGUAUGGCUGGAAGAAAUGAAGACGUGUCUGAUUUCCACAGCAGCCAAUGAUGAGGCAGCGCUCCCGACUCUCUGCCCUGUGAUAGGUCUUUGUCGCUCUCUUCAUCUCGGAGGCCCCCGUGUCAUUCCCUCUAAUCCCCCCCCCUCCUCCUCACCAACACCACCACCACCUUACCAAACACAAACAGGCCAAUCCCGACACUCAGCUCAGGGGCCGGGGGAGGGAUGAAGGAGGCUGAGGCAUGGCAUAGGAGUGAGGGAUGCAGUUCAGGAGGAGAGAAAAAGGAGCUCCAGAAGCUGAUGUUUGGUGUUAGAGGGAGCCUGUGUGUUAUUAUUAAUAAAGCAUUAAAAAAAAAGUGAGCACAUCAAAGCAUACAGGGGCUAUGCUAUCAUACAUGAAAGUGAUGCACUAUGGCUUAAUGUUUCCUAAGGCGUGUUAUGGUGACGCUGCUUUGAUUUGAAAUGCAUUGUGUGGAAAAUGGAUUUACAGGAGUGGGGAGAGAAAGCCUGGUGUGGGUGCAGACCAUAAUUUAAAACCUGACCUCAUAGGCUCUUCAAAGUCUCAGUGAGUGUGAAUAUCUGGGACUUAUGUACUGUAUGUGUGCGAGACCUAAACUGCAGCAACAAAUGCAUACAUGUGCAGGAGAUAUGGAGGACACCUGUGAGCAAAGAAAAUUAGCAAUUACUGUCACACAAAAUUAAAAAACGCAUCAUGUCACAUUUUGAUCAUUAGCAAUGAUUGGAACAAAUUUUCAAUUUUUCUUUUCUUUUCACCUUAUUAUGAAGCACAUUCUUCCUCAUCCUUUUCUUCUUCUUCUUCUUCAAUGAAGAGCCGUAGGAAGAGAGAGACAUCAUCAUCAUCAUUCCCCUGUGGCCAGGUAAUUAUCCUAAUCUACCUUCCUCCUGUGCUGCGGCUCCUGUGCCACACUGGCUCAGACCACCUCUGUGGCUUCAUUAUCAGCGGAGGGACUCGCUAAUGGCUCCACGGCCUUGCUGUGCAGGCUGCUGGCAGAGACAUCAUGAAGGGGGAGAAAGAGGAAGAAGAAGAAGAAGAAGAAGAAGAAGAAGAAGGGGAGGAAGAAGGGGGGAGGAAGAGGAGAAGACGAAGAUUAGACGCUAAAGAGGAGGAGGCAGCCCUGAAGGUUAACAUCUCAAUCAUGAGGGACAAUAAUGGUGAGGCCAACAGCUCAUUCAGAAGAAGAUGAAGCACUAGGGCAACACAGUGUCAAAGAUGAAGACAGGAGAUCAUGUAGAAUGCUCUCUUCAGGACAAAAUAACCAUUUCAUGUGUGUGUGUGUUCGAGGUAACAGGUCGCCAUGUCCUCAUGUGUGUCCCUUACACACCCCCACCUUGCGUGUUUGCAACACUUAUAACCUCACAACAUACAGACGGACUGGGGGUGGCAAUUCUGUAGUUUUUUCUGAUAAGUGACACCCUGACAGUUGGAAAAAAUGUUGGGGUCCCUGAACAGAUUUCUCAGUUACAAAAAUAAAAUGUGUUGGAGUAGACAAAGACAGACAUUUUUACAUUCUACUUUUGAACCCCAAUGAGAGCACUGACAAAUGCCACCCCACCCCCUCUCCGUCUGUGCCAUGAUUGUUUUUCCCUCUCCAGAAAUGUCAUAUACUUAAGAGGUGAUAAUUCUAUAUGGCACAAACAGACACUGGCUUCUUCCAAGUGUACAUAGCAUAUAGGCUGACACAGAUUGAGAUGGCGCAACAUGUCUUUGCAUCACUCUAAAUAACCAUGAGGGCUUCACUCAAUUUUUUCUGUACUUAAGGACACAAGUGGAAACUUUUCAAAAUGUUAAAGGAACUCAAGCGUGAUGCUCUAGAAGAAAAAGAUAUAUAUAUAUAUUCAGAUGUUAAAUUUACUGCAGUGUAAGUGAUGUGUGAAAUAUAUAGAAAAUCUCCUGUUUCUGUGUAGGUGUAGCAGCCUACAUGCGGAAAACUGCAUUAAUAAACAGCAUACCAAACCCCCUGAGAGCUAGUGUUAACAUAUUCAGUUUGGUUAGAGCAACAGCCAACAGAUCAUAUGUUAAAUA